GUGCGCUGCGUGGUGACGUAGGCGCGUGCAUGUGUGCCCCGGUCACAGCUCCUUUCAGCAUGGCCGGAGGAGAGGGUUACGGGCAGUCGCGUGACACGCACGGAUCGAACAUGUGUCUCUGUGUUGCAGAUGUGCAGUAAAGAGCCAAAGAUUCGACACUGUCUCCUGCCUCUUGCUUCAACACCAAAACACAACGCAGAACAGCA